rnacentral:rRNA from 1 species
CGAACGCUGGCGGCGUGUCUUAAGCAUGCAAGUCGUGCGGCAAGGGGUAGCAAUACCCCCUAGAGCGGCGGACUGGUGAGUAACGCGUGGGUGAUCUGCCUUUGGGAUGGGGAUAGCCAUUAGAAAUAGUGGGUAAUACCGAAUACGUUCGCAUGGAUGCGUCCAUGCGAGGAAAAGCGCUUCGGCGCUGCCCGAAGAUGAGCCCGCGUCCCAUUUGCUAGUUGGUGAGGUAACGGCCCACCAAGGCGAUGAUGGGUAGCCGGCCUGAGAGGGUGUACGGCCACACUGGGACUGAGAUACGGCCCAGACUCCUACGGGAGGCAGCAGCUAAGAAUAUUCCGCAAUGGACGAAAGUCUGACGGAGCGACGCCGCGUGGAUGACGAAGGCCGAAAGGUUGUAAAGUCCUUUUGUUGGGGAAGAAUAACCAUGGGAGGGAAUGCCCGUGGGAUGACAUGAACCGACGAAUAAGCCCCGGCUAACUACGUGCCAGCAGCCGCGGUAACACGUAGGGGGCGAGCGUUGUUCGGAAUUACUGGGCGUAAAGGGCAUGUAGGCGGCUUUGUAAGCCCGGCGUGGAAGCCCACGGCUCAACCGUGGGAUUGCGUUGGGAACUGCGAGGCUUGAAUCAUGGAGAGGGAGCUAGAAUUCCUGGUGUAGGGGUGAAAUCUGUAGAGAUCAGGAAGAAUACCAGUGGCGAAGGCGAGCUCCUGGCCAAUGAUUGACGCUGAGGUGCGAAAGUGUGGGGAUCAAACAGGAUUAGAUACCCUGGUAGUCCACACUGUAAACGAUGUGCACUAGGUGCUGGGGCGGAUGCUUCAGUGCCGGAGCUAACGCGGUAAGUGCACCGCCUGGGGAGUAUGCUC